GCAAUUCAAAAACCAUAUUCUCAUCCCGGUCGACCUGGACCCUCGGAAAGGAAACUUUGCUGUUUGAAGAGAAUUGUGGAAAACGAACCCCGUUCGAAGGCUUCUGACAUUG